GUUUAUGGAAGUGACGACAGGUCCUCAAGCACCAAUCUGUCCGGCUCAACCGCAGACGAUUAAUGAGUAGGCGUUUGCGAAAGCUACGACAAGUCCUCAAGCACCGAUCGGUCCGGCUCUACCCAAACAGCUAACGAGCCGACGUUUGCGAAAGCGACGAUAGGUCCUCAAGCAUCGAUCGGUCCAGCUCCACCUCAAACUGCUAACGAGCCGUCGUUGACCUAGUCGAGAACAGUCAAUGACGGAGCAAUCACUACCCGCCAACUCUGACGGAUCAUGCGCAAGCAUGAAAAAAAGAUGUUGGAGCUGAAGGCUUCAAUUCAGUCAUUGAGUCUAGCAAUGCAGAUGCUUGAGGACCGUAUCGUUGCUCGGAUUCUUGACGACCUUAAAUCACAAGUCCGUUAUUCUAUCUUCGCUUGUAUUUUGAUGGUUUACGUUUAACAACUGUUUAGACUGUGUUUUCUUGUUGGUUUGAUGGUUUUUGGGGUUAAGUGGUAGUGGUUUAAAUAGUUUUUCGUCAUUAGCGGGUCAGGACAUUUGUAUUAUAGUUAGUUAUUGCUGUGUCAGCCUUAGCAUGUGACAACAUUUUACUUGAUAUGUACGGCGUGUCACAACAUUUUACUGUUUAUGGUUUGUGGUAUUUUAUGAGCUAAGUAACUGUUUUUCCCAUUUUGUACGGCGGUCCAUCUCACGGUGUUGGUCUGGAGCAUGAUGAUGCUGAUUAUGGACAGCAUCAUGAACCUGGUGUUGACAUUGACGAUGGCGUUCUUAGUGCUGAUGGAGAGCACGUAACUCAUGUCAAUGACGUCGUCGAUGAAGCUGUGGCAGUGGAUGUCACCCUUCAAUCCGAUGAUGCUGAAUGGGAGCAUGUUCCUUUGCCCGAGUCCAUUAUCGAUGCAUCUGCUGGAGGGGACAGGGAGCCUGACUCAAUCGUGGCUAAAGGAGAGCAUAUUCUUUCGACCGAUGCAUUCGUCAACGUAGUAGCAAGAGCUAUCAUUCUUUAUCGUGAGAGCACUUUUGAUGCAGUUGAGAUAUGAUCGUCGUCACCGGAGUCAUCUACUAUCCAUGAUGGUGCAGCAGAAAUUUCAGACCCAACUGAGCGGGCACGGCUGAAAAUAGCGAGCAAAUACAUGGCAAACCCGUUCGUCGACCCCUUAGUAACUUGUCAAGAUGUGAGGGAUAAAAUCGUAGAAGACUACGAAGCUUUCAAGAAAGACGAGUCCGCGAGAUAAGCUCAUAAAUAACAUUGCAAAUAUUAUUUUUUAAUGAAACAUUAAUCCACCAAGACUUAUGAAAUUCAUUAUGUUACAUAUGUAGGCAUAACGUCAGCAUCUUAGGGGAUUAAGGGGCUGACUUUUUCAUAACCUUAGAGGAUCUCAAUGAGGAAAUGAUAAGUGAACAUAUCGACGUAUGCCUCAGCCUACUCUGCAAGCGAAUGACAGGGUCGAAGUCGAAGCUGUACACUACUCAUGCAUGCGUGGUUGACACGAUAUUCUUUGACACCAUCCAUAUGCUACACACGAAAUUUCCAAUAGAAGAUGCUCGGGCAACAAUGCAAAUUCCAGAUGAGUUGCGAGGGUAUGUGGAGGGUGAAAGGCCGACAUAUGCCAAAAAAUGGGAAGAUGUGGAUUUCAUCCUCGUGCCUUGCAACGUUGGUGGGCAUUAGGUGAUUGCGAAGAUCGACUUGGUGAGGUGGACGAUCAAGGUGCUAGACUCCGCAAGAACUUCGGAUUCUAAGGAUAACGGAGUUCGUGCGGGUCAGAUGACACCCUUAACGACAAUGAUGCCAUUCAUCGGUCACCAAGCCAGUUAUUUCAACAACAUACGUCGGAAGAGAUAGGAUUUGACUUCGAUGCCAUUGGAUAUUCAUUUGCCAAAAGCUAAAGUGCAUCGGUAGAAUGAUAGUAUCAGUUGCGGUAUGUUCAUGAUAGGGUACAUAGACCAUAUUUUGCAAUCAGAAAAGAUCAGAGUUAAGCAGAAUAUGAUUGCAAAAAUGCAUUGGCAAUACGCUCUAAAAUUUUUUUCCAACAGUUGUGAGAGUGAACCCUGAACAUAUCGGCCAUUGUCUGUACAAUUUUUUUGUAUACAGAAUUUUUUUUAUACAAUUAAUUUUAUACAUAAAUUUUUUGUAUACA
rnacentral:sRNA from 1 species